AUGGCGACUCUGUUCAGUCCAUCCCGCGAGCGUGCGAUUGCACUUCGCUAAGUCGUUUUCUCAUUUUUCGAGUUACGACAGAUUCUGACUCUGCUAGGGACGUGCUCCAUGUAAGAGAGAGUCAAGCUUAAUUUAGUUAACUUUACGAUGAAUGUUGUCUUUUCUUAUUUGUUUUCUUUAUGUUUUCUCACUUCAUUUCUAUAUGUUUGCUUAUUUUCU
rnacentral:lncRNA from 1 species